AUUGAACGCUGGCGGCAGGCCUAACACAUGCAAGUCGAACGGUAACAGGAAGAAGCUUGCUUCUUUGCUGACGAGUGGCGGACGGGUGAGUAAUGUCUGGGAAACUGCCUGAUGGAGGGGGAUAACUACUGGAAACGGUAGCUAAUACCGCAUAACGUCGCAAGACCAAAGAGGGGGACCUUCGGGCCUCUUGCCAUCGCAUGUGCCCAGAGGGGAUUAGGUAGAAGGUGGGGUAACGGCUCACCUAGGCGACGAUCCGUACCUGGUCUGAGAGGAUGACGAGUCCCACGCGAACUGAAACACGGUCCAGACUCCUACGGGAGGCAGCAGUGGGGAAGAUUGCACAAUGGGCUCAAGCCUGAUUCAGCCAUGCCGCGUGUAUGAAGAAGGCCUUCGGAUUGUAAAGUACUUUCAGCGGGGAGGAAGGGAGUAAAGUUAAUACCUUUGCUCAUUGACGUUACCCGCAGAAGAAGCACCGGCUAACUCCGGG
rnacentral:rRNA from 1 species